AUUGAACGCUGGCGGCAGGCCUAACACAUGCAAGUCGAGCGGAUGAAGGGAGCUUGCUCCUGGAUUCAGCGGCGGACGGGUGAGUAAUGCCUAGGAAUCUGCCUGGUAGUGGGGGAUAACGUCCGGAAACGGGCGCUAAUACCGAAUACGUCCUGAGGGAGAAAGUGGGGGAUCUUCGGACCUCACGCUAUCGGAUGAGCCUAGGUCGGAUUAGCUAGUUGGUGGGGUAAAGGCCUACCAAGGCGACGAUCCGUAACUGGUCUGAGAGGAUGAUCAGUCACACUGGAACUGAGACACGGUCCAGACUCCUACGGGAGGCAGCAGUGGGGAAUAUUGGACAAUGGGCGAAAGCCUGAUCCAGCCAUGCCGCGUGUGUGAAGAAGGUCUUCGGAUUGUAAAGCACUUUAAGUUGGGAGGAAGGGCAGUAAGUUAAUACCUUGCUGUUUUGACGUUACCAACAGAAUAAGCACCGGCUAACUUCGUG
rnacentral:rRNA from 1 species